rnacentral:rRNA from 1 species
UAGGGAAUCUUCGGCAAUGGACGAAAGUCUGACCGAGCAGCGCCGCGUGAGUGAAGAAGGUUUUCGGAUCGUAAAACUCUGUUGUUAGAGAAGAACAAGGACGUUAGUAACUGAACGUCCCCUGACGGUAUCUAACCAGAAAGCCACGGCUAACUACGUGCCAGCAGCCGCGGUAAUACGUAGGUGGCAAGCGUUGUCCGGAUUUAUUGGGCGUAAAGCGAGCGCAGGCGGUUUCUUAAGUCUGAUGUGAAAGCCCCCGGCUCAACCGGGGAGGGUCAUUGGAAACUGGGAGACUUGAGUGCAGAAGAGGAGAGUGGAAUUCCAUGUGUAACGGUGAAAUGCGUAGAUAUAUGGAGGAACACCAGUGGCGAAGGCGGCUCUCUGGUCUGUAACUGACGCUGAGGCUCGAAAGCGUGGGGAGCAAACAGG